rnacentral:rRNA from 1 species
AUACGGAGGGUGCAAGCGUUGUUCGGAUUUACUGGGCGUAAAGCGCGCGCAGGCGGAUAAGCAAGUCAGAUGUGAAAUCCCGGGGCUUAACCUCGGAACUGCGUCUGAAACUGCUAAUCUAGAGUCUCACAGGGGGUAGGGGAAUUUCACGUGUAGGGGUAAAAUCCGUAGAGAUGUGAAGGAACACCGGUGGCGAAGGCGCCUACCUGGAUGAGUACUGACGCUGAGGCGCGAAAGCGUGGGGAGCAAACAGGAUUAGAUACCCUGGUAGUCCACGCCGUAAACGAUGAGUACUAGCUCUUAGGGGUAUUGACCCCCUUAGGGGCGCAGCUAACGCAUUAAGUACUCCGCCUGGGAAGUACGGUCGCAAGACUAAA